rnacentral:rRNA from 1 species
UACGGGGGGAGCAAGCGUUGUUCGGAUUUACUGGGCGUAAAGGGCGCGUAGGCGGUGCGAUAAGUCAGGCGUGAAAGGCCCGGGCUCAACCCGGGGACUGCGCUUGAUACUGUUGCGCUGUGAGUCCGGGAGAGGAUGGCGGAAUUCCCAGUGUAGAGGUGAAAUUCGUAGAUAUUGGGAAGAACACCGGUGGCGAAGGCGGCCAUCUGGACCGGCACUGACGCUGAGGCGCGAAAGCGUGGGGAGCAAACAGG